AAAUAAGAAACAAAAUAUUGUAUUUAGUUUCGACCUAAAAUUUUGAUGGCUCCCAUCCUUAUUUU
rnacentral:tRNA from 1 species